GCCCGUCCAAGCCAUGGAAGCCGGGAGUGCCUGAAGUACGCGACCGCAAGGAGCGUCCUAAGGUAAAACCGGUGACUGGGCUAAGUCGUAACAAGGUAAC
rnacentral:rRNA from 1 species